GUUAGGUUUAGUGGAGUAGGUGAGGUGGUAGUGGUGGUAGGUUUAUUGAUAAAUUUUAACACUCACUAUAUUCUCAAUUAAACUAUCAGUGAAGUAUACAUGUAUAUAACUACAUCUAUCUUUUGGUUAAAUAGAUUAAGAUGAUGAAUCUUAUUUUGAAAUGUUGUCCUAUGUUGUGAUGUUUCUUUCUUUCUCCAAUUUAUCCUGGAAAAUUUUUGAACAAUUAGGAAUAAAUUAUUUCUUCAACAUGAGUACCUGCUUCCUAUCUUACAUGGACUCUUCAAAAUAAAUCAAAUACACGUGCCAGACACCCAACACUUGGGUAUAUUUCUAUUUAACACUAUCAUUAUAUGUAUAUUGUAUAAUUGCUAUAAAAUGAAGAAAUACCUUUUUGAUGUUGUAUGUAACAUAUAACACCAUUUUAUCUUAUCUAAUAGAUUAAAAAUAUAAAAGUAUCACCCUUUUUUGGCAAGUCCACGUACCCUUAAAUUUGAGAUUUGAUAGGUCCGAUCUCUAGAUACACACCUGCACCGACAUCUGUACCCGAGUCCAUGUAACAUAUACCUCCACCCCUCUCUUUAAAGCAAUCCAGUGCUAUUUAGGGAGCUUAUAGUUGAUAUAGAGAGCUAUGAUGAAUGAGUCAAGACAGGCCACACAUAUUUAAUGGGAGUGGUGUAACCACAAGACCCUAUGUUGUUGUUCGCAGAACCAUUUAAGGCGUAUGAUUAUUCAAUGCCGCCUAAGUUUGUAUGUAUAACUUACCUUCAUACAAUCUCUUCUUUGAACAAUUGCUUAUUGUAGACUACAUCAGCUGCACAUGGUUGAGCUUUCACAUUGUAACUUAAAUGCCGUUCUUUCUUUAAGUAGCCACUAAUGGUUUUAUUGGGGAACUUUGUAGCUGCUUUUAGAAUCUUGCUUCAAGGAUAUGGUAGAAAAGAGGAAAGUUUGUGUUUCCAAAUAAAUGAGCCAUCUUUUGUGAGACUGACGUAACACAAAGACUACAUGGUUCUUGUGUCCCAUACAAGUACGUGAAUCCUACUAUGUUUUGCAGGGAUAUGUGGAUUUUGGCAGAUUUGACAAGUUCAACUUUUUCGUUGCUGGUUCAGGUCAUGUUAAUUUUGUUCAGGACUUUUACAAUGGUGAUUUGAUAAAUUGUGAGCGUAGUUAUGACAAAAUGGGACGUACAGCUCCGGUAAAUAUCAUUUGUGGGACUUGUCCAAAUGGAAAAUGUAAAGGUAUGUGAGCUCUCCACUUUUGAGUUUCACAGUUUAAGUUGCUUCAAUUUCAUAAUUAAUAUGAUCCAUUGUGGAUAUGUGUGUGUUUGCAAAUCUGAACAGUGAAAGGUGUUUUUCACCCUCUAUUUGGUUGCCUUGCAAGUAAAAUUGACUUGUGGAGUUUUAUAAGAUUCAGUGCCAUUUGAUCAUUUUUUUUACUUGGGGCAUUACAAAAAAUGGUAUUAGUAUCCCACAUCUGUUCCAGUAAAUGUAAGAAAUAGUGAAUGCUAAAUUGCUUAAAGCUUUCUUGUAUCCCUGUUGGGCGACCAGUUCUGAACCCUGACUUGUGGAGUUUUAUAAGAUUCAGUGCCAGCAUGAUGAUUGAUGGCAUAAUUAAAAUUUUGAAGCCAUACAGCCUUUUGUUCAUACAAAAAUAUUGAACAUUUUGAGAAAAAAGCCAUCAAUCCACAUUUAGGACUCAAUUGAAAAAAAAAUAUGAUUGAAGCUUCUAUUUUUUUUACUUGCAGCAUUACGAAAAAUGGUAUUGGUAUCCCACAUCUAUUCCUGUAAAUGUAAGAAAUAGUGAAUGCUAAAUUGCUUAUAGCUUUCUUGUAAUGCUGUUGGGUGAUCAGUUCUGAACCUGAUGACACAUCUGGGUCAAUUCUUUAUGCAACCAACGUUUAAUGGAGCAAAAUGGAGCUGUUGCACUGGAUAUGAGGGCCGCUACUCCGUUUUAAGCCUACACAUUGGCAUCCUUAUUGGAUUUUAGCACAGUAGAAUAUUGUAUUUUUCAGUUUGGAAUUCAAAAGAUUUCCGUCAACUGGUUGACCAGAUGGAUUUCUGUAUGUAUAUUGCAAACAGUACUCAAGAGAUGUAGUUAAUCAUUGUUGUUGUUGUUGUUGUUAUGAUGUGUUCUUUUAAAAAAAAGAAAAAAAGAAAAAAAUGAAUACUCUCCAAGCUUCAGACUUGUUGUUACAAGAUGUAAAAGCAUUGUACAUCUUGAAUGUCGUGCUACACCAAAUCUUUAAUUAGUAAAGGAAUUUGAAUAAUGCUUUCUAUGCAAGUUAAUCAAAGACUUGAUGAGCCUCGGCAUAGAGACAUUAACCUUAUAAUAGCCUUAAAGUUUGAGGCGAGCCUAAACAUUUCUUAAUUAGCAUUCUCCUUAUGUGUCAGUUUACAAGGGUCUAUAAUUCUGGCUCUUUUUGACUUCUAAAAAAAUUAUGGACUUCAACAACUGUGAAUACUUUUAUUUACACUUUUGUGGAGGGGUGGGGGGAAAUGUGACUAGGGCUGGGUAUAGGGUUAUCCAACCUGCAAAUACCGCCCAAUCCGAACUGCCCACGCCUAUUUAGGCAGUUUCGCAGAAUUGUUAUGGACGGAUAUAGUUUAAGAUUUUCCUAUUUUGCAGGUCACGGGUGGGUCGCGGGUUUUACCCGUACACCCGCCUGCAUCUAUUUAUAAUUUUUUUUUUUAAAAAUCUGGACCAUUAGAUUUUUUUGUGAGUUUUGUAAGUGUGUAAUCCUAAUCUUCUCUUCUCCCACUCACUUUAAUCUGAUUAUCAAACCUGUAGGCUCUAACGUUAUAACAUUAUCAUAAUAUUAUGCACUGCCUUGUUUAAAAUACUUAUUAUUCAAUUGGAAUCUUUUCAAAUCUAGUUAUGUGAAUUUUUGUUUUUUUGUUUUUUUUCUAUGUUAGUUUUUAUUUAAUUUUCAUUUUAAUUUUUUGUAAUCCAAUUUUAAUGGAGGAUAGUGUUAAAUCUUCUACAAUCAAAAAUAUUUUUAAAAUUAAAAAGAAAAGCAAAUUUUUUUUUUAAAGGAAAAAACUCAAUCCGCAAACCGCAACUCGCAUUGCGGGCGGCUGCGGAUUCAAUUUUUCCAAAACUGCAAACAUGCAGGC